GAGAAGGAAAAGGAUGUUGUACAUGGGCAGAAAGGUGAAAAUUGUGGCCAGAGGCAGAUUGUGCUAUCAGGUAAAUAAGCCCAGGCUAUUGUGCUGGAUGAUGAGAGGUCACUGGAACACUGAUGAGCCAUAACAGCUGAGGCCAUUCUAGAAUAGGCAGCUUUAGCCAACCAGGCAGCUGACUGCAGAUACAGGCCUGCAUCCAGAUGAGUCCAGAAAAGCAACCUAGACACUACUGGCAAAGACAUUGAAAAGAAUCACACUGCUAAACCAGUAGCAGCUUUUAUCUUCUUCUCAGAUUGUAUACAUGCAGGAUAAAAGUGUUUCUAACACAUAGACUUCUAUAUUCCAGCAUAAAGAUGUAUUAGGCGCAUUUAUACUUUUACAUCGAAGCCUGUUUCAACAUGAACGGAGCCCAGAUAUUUAUGUAGGCCAGUAAUUGGAGUGUAUUUCCCUGUUCAAUUUCACAUUGUCUAUAAAAGGGUUUCUCAUGAUCGAUGACUUUCUAGUUAAAUUCAGAAGAAAACAUCUUGCAGCUACUGCCCUAUUGCCAUGGCCACACAUCACUGCCUUCUAGACAUGGGAAGUUGGUGACUUAAUCCUCGUUAUACCCUGAUUUUGGACAAAUUUUACAAGAAGAAUAGGACUUCUACUUCUCUAUGUCUACAUGCACCUGGAACAGUGCUAGGUCUAUGCUUACAAAUUGAUUGGUUCAGGUCACCGCCAUGAGCCUCAGGACAGAAAAUUGCCGGAUAUGAGAGAGAGAGAGAGAUUUGACUGGGCUAAGAAAGAAAUGAACACGAUUU
rnacentral:lncRNA from 10 species